UUGACUUCACAUAUGUCCGUGUGAAGGUGCCAGACCCCUGCAACUGGAGUUACCUGCACUUGUGAGCUGCCAUGUGGGUGUUGAGAAUUGAACCCAGGUCCUCUGGAAGAGCAGCCAGUGAUCUUAACCACGGAGCCAUCUCUCCAGCCCUGGUGGUCUAUUUCUUUAACUGUGAAAGGAUAAUUGAAAACGCCUAACUUGUGUUUCUGCUGGAGUUUAACAAAGUAAUGCUAACAGAGUCCAUCUAGAGGAAUACUAGAAGAGCCCACUGAAUGUUAGCAGUGACUGUGACUGGAUACAAAAUAUGGGUAAAAGAGCUAACAAAGGAUACUUUAUCCCAAGAGAAACUAAAGUCAAUGCUCACAACUUGAAGAAUGAUUUCAGCUCUCCUCCAGACCACCACGCCAGCAUUUACCCUACAAGCCCUGCAGUGUGAAAUCUAGAUAGCACAGGCCAUGUAAUAGAAUUCUCUGGCCAUUUCCAGCGUGCUCACGGCGAGGAAUCCAGCAGACCAGGUGCUUUCUGAGUGGUGACUGUGGACAGAUGCCAAGGCUGUAGAAGUGUGACUAGCACAGAAUCCUCAAGUUGCUCUGAAGCAGCAGAAAAUCACGUGCAAACUGUCUGUCACCAAGGCAGAGGGUCUCACCUACAAAGAUAGAGCGCGUGUGGUGACGGUAUUGGAGAGCAGCGACUGGAGUGUUUCAGGAGAAUGUUCCCCGAAGAAAAAGCCAAAUGACCUUUGGAGAAAGAAGAAAGGAGACUUAAGCAAUAAGUCCUAGCUACACAUAUUUAAAAUGUUUCUCUUCUGGUAAAUUAACGGCUAGCUUUCAUUACUCCUACAGAGAGCUCAGUGCACUUAAAAAGAUACAUAGGUAUGUAGAAACCCGAAGUGAUUUCUAAUUUUAAAAAUGUUUAUUUGAAAUAUCCCUGGAUCUAAACCACUGCAAAUGUUUAUUGCACGAUUAUCAUGAGCAAGAUACAGGACAUUACAGAGAGCACCAAGAACUCUGAGUCCCAGAGGAGAAUAAAAAUGCCAGCUGUGGAGAUGAGUUGUGGGCUCCUAGAAAAAGAGCCGUUAGGCUGCAAGGCACCUUGUGGAUUAAGAAGCUGACAUCGUUUGACUUAGGUUUCAAAUGAACGGCACAGGGACAUUGGAAUAGAUGACAGAGGAUUCUACAGAGUGAUGGACAGAACGGUACCCCUGAGGUUCAAAGCAACUGUAGCAACUCCGUGUUUCCAACAUGUUCGUUUCUAUGACACACUCUGCUUUUCACGCGGUAAAAUUCGCAAAGAAUUCUCUUUCCAUAUUGGGAAGGCCAGGCUACUUUUAUAUGGUUGCAGUUCGCCCUCCAUUCUGCAAAUGAGCGUAAACACAUAAAAUAUUUAUACAUCCCUCCAAUCUAUAGAGAAAUCACUUUGGGGACUGGAAAACAGACUCUUUACAGACGGGGAGGAUAUGAGGGAAAUGCCCUCAGUGUGCUGGCUCGCAACUGCAAUGUCUGCCCAGCACUGUGCCUUCUGUCAGAACGGGAUGCUCUGCUGAAAGAGCCCUUGUGUGUCAAGAUUCAAAACGGUCUUGUUUGCUCCAGUUGAACAAAGCUCUCACAGACAGUGGGAUCUGCGAGGGCAACCGCCAAGUGUAUUAAGCCAAUGUUCCCUCCGCCACACUGCGGAUAGUUUAUCGUAAUGGCACUUCACACCUUCAUGUAUAGAGGCUGGUGUUCUGGUCUGGCAGCGGAUCCUGCACAGAGCCCCUCUGACUUCAAAGGAAAUGACGUAGAACAGAACCCCCAGGUAUAAGGAGAAGCAAGAGCGCUUGCUCUUCAGAUACUGGACCAUUUUGUCUGUUUGCUCUCAUUCUCUCUGCAGAAAUGGCUAAAUUUAUUUACCAAAUGUCCAAAGGCAACUUUUCAUUUCAACAGCUUAUGAAUCGUCAGAUAUAUGAAUAUUUAUUGGGAAACUGGAAACUGAACUGUUGUAGUCUUUUUUUAAAAAAUGAAAGAGGGAAAGGGGGUUGUAGUAUAAACUCAUCCUAACCCCACAGUUUUCUUGCUCUGUAAGCCACCCAAGAGGCAGAAAUGACUUUAGGCAA